rnacentral:lncRNA from 1 species
UAGCUUUGAUGUGUUUCGGUUGGAUGAAAUGGAGUGUGUUGGUGCAGGUGCGAUGCAUCCGAUUGACUAUAGGAGGACCGAGGACAUGUGGUGAGGCGCUGUGCCCUGUGGCACAACGACAAGGGUGCGCACAAGCUGACCAGCGUCUAGCUCCAUGGCAUCAUCAAUGACAGAACCAGGUACAUUGCCAACCAUUCAAUUUCCUCUGACUUGGACUGAUGCAUUCAUGGAUGAUGGUGGCCUGCACGUUCCUUCACAGUUAUUGAUUAAUCAUAGCCAUACAUUGUUGUUUAUCAUUUUCGUGCUUGCAAACAACUGUGAUGUAAACUGUAGGCACCGAAGACAUCUCAUCAUCCUACUAUUUUUAUCGCACUUUUUUGAAAUCAAUCUUCUGCAUUCAACCCGUGUGAACUUACCUCCUGAAUCAUCUUACUUAGCAAAUACGUAUUUUCGUGCAGCAUUUAGGACGACCAUUAGAUCAAAGUAUGGUACUGCGAUUUUUUGUACUGUUCCACAGAUCGAUGGCGUAGCUAACACUCUUAAUUGUUCAUAACAUAUAUUCACAUUUGCUCAUUUCUGCAUAAAUUACUGAAUUAUUAUCGGAAUGAAAGAUAACUUUGUGCAGUCAUGAUUUUUAAAGCAACCGUGUAUUAGGAUCUCAAAAAUUAUGCACUUCUACAUUACUAACUUACUUUCUGGAGAGAUAUCACCAUUAAUGAUGUAUUUUAUACUGUUCAAAAGUUCCGUUGGUUUUGCACAAGGUGCUCCCCAUAAUUAAAAAUGUAUCCAUCUUUGAGUAAAAGAAUGGUGUAGGUAACUGCAUCUAUUUGUUAGAUACUGGGUAACAAGCUUGUCAAUUUCCUCUCAAGAAAUUGGCCAGGUUGCGCUCACAACUGAGCCAUAUUUACGAUGCUCAAUAUGUUGUUGCUUUUCUCUCUGAAUCCUCGUCUAUGAGGACCAAGCAUGACACAGCAGCGAGGAAGAGGAUAAGAAAAAUCUCGGAAAGCAUGAAAUGGGGAAGUUGGUGUGUGUUUGUAGAAGUUGAGCAGUUAUUGUCCAAGAAAAUGGAAUAGCACAUCUGCUGAUCCAUCCCUCUUUUCUGUUACAGAAGUCCACACGAAUUCUAUGCUAUAUUCUGAUGUUUUCAUAUACUAUAAUAGCUUUAGUGAUUUAUAUGACCACACAAUGUUGGCUAAAACAGUACAAAUUGGCUUUUUAAAAGAGGAACAAAUGAUCGUCAAUGGUGCACUAAACCAUGAGAGUGUGGCGCCUUCUGUGUUGUGGACUUGGCAUGGGCUGGCUUCUGUGAGUGCCACUGUAACGUUUGUUAUUUUGCCUAACUUUCUGAAGUUAAACCAUCCUUUCACAAAGUUCCAUCUUCUUGUUGAAACAAAGGUUCACUGCUGUGUUCUUGCUGCCAUUCCGCGGUAUAUUGGAGUGUUUCAUCCUAAUAUAUGUCUGGUUACAUGACCACAAAGAGAAAGAAGGGUAUGAUGUGUAAGUUACCUUUCUGAUACAACCACAAUACUAUGUCGCUAUUAUUAUUCGAGUUCAGAGAUUUGAGACUCUAGACUUUAUGGUCCGUUAAAUCAGUUUUAUUAAAUUAACUGAAAAAAUAGAUUAGCUCACAAGUAUCUCUACUCAGUAUCUCAGGUUCUGCUUGCAGCUAAUUUUUCUUGUAAUGGCAUCAGCUAAAAUAUUGGUAUGAUCGAAUUGAGAGAAGUUCUUUCAACAUAGAAAUGUAUUUUCACUGUAAGACAGUAAUUGUUAGAAUCACAAAUUACAAGAUGUCAUGAUACCUGACGAAACUGCUAUUGAAAUUCGUACACUAAUGCAGCAUAUUCUUUUGAUUAGAAGCAAACGUGGACACUCAAGAAGAAGCUGAAAAAUCAGUAUUGGAACCCAGCGAGGAAAUCUGAAAGCAUAGACCAUGUUUAAGAACUGGUUGUUUUUGUUGUGCUAUUUUUAAGAAAAAGGAUUGUCUCGAAGGAAAUGAAGCUUACCAACAAGGAAAUUAUGGUGAGGAGCACUCUUCUGCCCCCUUGGUAAUACAGAGGUACUCAACUCCAACCCUAUCCAAGAAGCGGAAUAUAUCAUACUCUAGAGUUUGGACUUUAGACAUAUUUUAUCCUUUUAUUAUACUCAUGGUCGUUUUGGAAAACAGAUGCAAUGCAAAGCGAGGAAAUCUGAAAGCAUAGACCAUGUUUAAGAACUGGUUGUUUUUGUUGUGCUAUUUUUAAGAAAAAGGAUUGUCUCGAAGGAAAUGAAGCUUACCAACAAGGAAAUUAUGGUGAGGAGGCACUCUUCUGCCCCCUUGGUAAUACAGAGGUACUCAACUCCAACCCUAUACAAGAAGCGGAAUAUAUCAUACUCUAGAGUUUGGACUUUAGACAUAUUUUAUCCUUUUAUUAUACUCAUGGUCGUUUUGGAAAACAGAUGCAAUGCAAAUGUUAUGUAUUGUGCUUUUGCUUGUUCAAGGGACCUCCUAAUGACACACGAUGGAAACGGAUCCGUGGAUUAAUUCAGAUGGCAUUAAUUGGAGAGAAGGGAUCUAGCUAGGUUUGCAAUGGCAUGUGUACUACCAAAAAGUAACAUCCUCAGGUUCUCUCCUGCAAAUCUAAAGAUCAUGUUCGCAGAGCUAAUAAAUGUAUAUGGAUUAAAAUAAAGAUGAUUUGUAUUCACCGAUAUAUAUGUAUUUCCAUCAAGAAAUAAGUUUGGAAGAGUAGUAAGUACCACGGCAUUUUCUUUCAGAAUGCAAUGGUGUUUAUUUGAUAAUGUGUUUAUAUGACAUGCAUAUGUUGCUUUAAUUUGCUCGUCCGCGAACCCCUCAAAAUUAUCUGACAAUCUGCUUAUACAAACAGCUUUGAGUUUGGUGCACUCUAUUGCUUUGUUAGGCUUGGUGGUGUAUCAGAUUCAGGAGAAUAAUAGUCCCUCUGUCAUCAUAUUUUUGUUUGUGGUAAUGCAUGACAUUCAACUGUAUGUAAUAUGGCAAUGACUCAAGAGACAUCGGAUCUGCCUUCUUGGCUUAG